rnacentral:rRNA from 1 species
GACGAACGCUGGCGGCGUGCUUAACACAUGCAAGUCGAACGGAAAGGCCCCUUUUGGGGUCCUCGAGUGGCGAACGGGCGAGUAACACGUGAGUAACCUGCCUUUGCCUUCGGGAUAACUUCAGGAAACUGGGGCGAAUACCGGAUAGGAAUCCUUGCUGCAUGGUGGGGGUUGGAAAGCUUCGGCGGGUUUGGAUGGACUCGCGGGCUAUCAGCUUGCUGGUGGGGUAGUGGGUUACCAAGGCUUUGACGGGUAGCCGGCCUGGGGGGGCGACCGGCCAAAUUGGGGCCGAGAAACGGCCCAAGCUCCUACGGGGGGCAGCAGGGGGGAAUAUUGCACCAUGGGCGGGAGCCUGAUGCAGCAAAGCCGGGUGCGGGAAGACGGGCUUCGGGUUGUAAAACGGUUUCAGCAGGGGCGGAGCUGGUGGUGACGGUACCGGCAGAAGAAGCACCGGCUAACUACGUG